CAGAAAGGGGGACAAGGGAAGAAGAGAUAGAUGAUGGAGCUGGAGACAGGCUGAAGGGAUAAAAUUAAUGCAUCCCCCAGACUCUGAACCCCCAAGGUUCUCCUGAACAGCCAGAUAACCUAACCUGGCGCAGCCUUCUUUUCAGAACUUCUCCUCAAGAGCUGAGAGCCAGUUGAAAGACCAUCUCUGCCCUGUACUCUCGGAAGUGGGCUCUCAGCUCCAGCCCAUUCUCAGAGCCUCCCUCGGUUUCCUGGUGUGGCCUCAAAGCUUAGGGCUACCUUCCUGCCACACUUCCCUUUCCUGCCUCCAGUUCCCUAGAGAUGAGGCCAUCCAGGCAUUGCCACCCCUAGCCAGGCCACAUCCAUCCCAUCUUAGAGUACUAAACUUGCUUCCAGUCUGGCCACCUUCCCAGGAGCCCUGGAAGGUGGGAUCCAGGCAUCAGUGGUCCCUGACACUUUUGUCUUGGAAAUGGCAAGUCUGCAGCAGGAGUGAAUGGAAGUGUUUAUCUGUCAGCACGUCAGCACGGGGCCUCUACCAGGCAUCUGCUCAGGUUUCCAACCCUUGGGCCAGCUCUGGCUCCUCUUAGCCUGGGGAAGAGCUGGAGAGGUCAUCGCAUUACCUACCACUUCUCAGCAAAGGGUUCUGAGUGCCUGGCAGCAGCGACCAUAAACAUCUUCUUUAACCUCUCAAGGACCCACCAAGGUUGUUUCUAAUUCUGGAAAGGUUGUGUAGGAACCAAGGACAGAGGAAGCCAAGAACCACAAGCCAAGGCAGACUGGGCUCUGGAAAGAACCGCAGUGAUGAAGAACCUGGUGGGAAGGAGGAGUCCAGAAGACAGAAAGCUCAUUGUGCUGUCAGCCUGGUCCUGUGACAUUGACUCUGACUAGCCAUGGGACUCUGGGGAGGGAGAGAUGCUCACCACCACUCCCUCAGAACAGCUGAGAUCCAGGCCUCUAUAAAGACCCAGAAAAGCAAGGAUAGACAAAAGACAAACAGAACAACCCACAAAGGAUACGCUGACUAGCUCCUUCAGCCUCUCUCUGGCUCUGAGUCAUACCUAGGCCAUAGACGAGACAUGGCAGAAGUGACAAGAGCCCUUGAACCAGGUCUUACAUGACCCAUCAUCAUAUCCUUGCAAGCGUAUCCAGGAGGUCAGUUAAGGGACAUGGCAGGGUCCCAGGAGGGCGCUGAAUCCUGCAUCCCACUCUAAAGUGCUAUGAAGUUCUAAUCCUCCUUAUGGUAAGAGCUCUAGGAAAUCCUUGUUCUUGUGAGUUGUGACAAUGAACAGUGUGGUACAAAGAAAAACAGGAGGGCUCAGGAGAGGGCUCAGCAGGGAAAGCACUUGUUAUGCAAGCAUGGGACCUGAGUCCAAAUCUCUAGGACCCAUAUAAAAGUUUUAUGUGUGCUUCUUUCUGUAACCUCAGCACUGUGGAGAUGGAUCCCUAAGCCAAACUGAUGAGCUCCAGGCUUAGUGAGUGACUGUUUCAAAAAGUGGGGUGAGGGCUGGAGCUGUACCUCAGUACAGACUCUUAUCUCACAGACCUUAUGCUGUAGGCUCAACCGUCAGGAAGAAGAGUCCACUAGGUAGUAAGACAGAGAGCGAUAAAGACAUCCAACAUUGACCUCCGGCGUGCACACACUUGCACACAUAGAUGCACAAGCACCGGCAUUCACCGAUGCAGAUAUACACAUACACAUCUAUACAAGAGAGAGGGAGAGAGAUGGAAAGAUGGCUCGUUGUUUAAGAGUGCAAACUGUUCAACAAUAUGGCUGCCUAAACAAGAUCUGAGCAAGGACAUCAACAGGCAUGCUAGCACAGAGGGGGGAGGAACAACAAUUCUCCAGAGUUGAGAUUCUUAAUUGGUUAUCAACACCAAGUACUCAGCCCUGUAAUUAUUUACAUGCGAGCAAAACCAAACACAAAUCUGCACACUGUGUAUGCGUGUGUGUGUGUAAAACAAUGAAAGAAAGAGGCCGUGAAUUUGAGAGGAAGUGAAGGGAGGAUGAUGAGUUGAGGGGUGUUAAGAGAGGAAAGGGAAGGGGCAACACAAUAUAAUUAUAUUUUAAUUAAUAAUCAAACAUAAACUUUUACCUAAGGGGAAGGGGGGAAGAGUGCAAACUGUUCUUGCAGAGGACUCCAGUUUGGUUCCAAGCGCCCAUGUUGGGCUUGUAACUCCAGGGGAACCAACAUCCUCUUCUGGCCUCUGCAGGCUCUUCAUU